UGGUCUCAAACUCCUGACCCCAGGUGAUGCACCCAUCUUGGCUCCCCAAAGUGCUGGGAUUACAGGCGUGAGCCACUGCGCCCGGCCCCAGAUUCAUCUUCUAAAAUGAAGGGUAGCAGUUUUCCAGACCCAUGUUGGAGGUGGCAGUGACCUCCAGAGUCCAUGCUUGGAAAAUGCUGAGGAAGAUGUCAACAAUCUGCCUUGUGGUUUAAGACGGGGUGGCGUGGGGUGCCUGGAAAGCCUGUGGUUUAGGUAGUUCCUCAGCAAGGAGCACUGCUCUGUGCCCCACCAUCCUCAAGGCCAGUUCCACCUCUGGACGACUCAGUUACAUGAGCUGAUAAAGUCUCUAACUUCAAUAAACUGGAGUUAGACUUCAGAUGAUUUUACCUGUAAGAGUCCUGACUGAUAAUGGAUACACAAGAGUUCCCCUAAUAUGAAAAUACAGUAAACAACUAUCAUCUAGAGUCAUUUUUAUUUCAUUUUUUUCUUUUGCAUUUUUUUUUCAGUACAGACUUGCCUUCACAGGAAAGAUCAUUUUUAUAUAAGUGGAUUCAGCUGCCCCCACUCACAACC
rnacentral:lncRNA from 1 species